rnacentral:tRNA from 1 species
GACUGGAUAGCCUAGUGGCAAAGGCAUCACAUUGACAAUGCUGAGGUCCCAGGUUCAAAUCCUGGUCUAGUUA